CAGAGUGCAUGGGGCAACAGCUUGCUGUGCGAGCAUCCCUUUUUAUACACUGUAUUCCCAGCCGCAGCUAAUGAAGGGAAUCAGGGCCCUUUCCACCCCCGUAAGCCACGCAACUCAUGUUGCUCCCUUCUCCGUUUCUCCCUGCGUGCCCUAGGAUGAAGAGGGGG